GACGAACGCUGGCGGCGUGCUUAACACAUGCAAGUCGAACGGAAAGGCCCUGCUUUUGUGGGGUGCUCGAGUGGCGAACGGGUGAGUAACACGUGAGUAACCUGCCCUUGACUUUGGGAUAACUUCAGGAAACUGGGGCUAAUACCGGAUAGGAGCUCCUGCUGCAUGGUGGGGGUUGGAAAGUUUCGGCGGUUGGGGAUGGACUCGCGGCUUAUCAGGUUGUUGGUGGGGUAGUGGCUUACCAAGGCUUUGACGGGUAGCCGGCCUGAGAGGGUGACCGGCCACAUUGGGACUGAGGUACGGCCCAGACUCCUACGGGAGGCAGCAGUGGGGAAUAUUGCACAAUGGGCGGAAGCCUGAUGCAGCAACGCCGCGUGCGGGAUGACGGCCUUCGGGUUGUAAACCGCUUUCGCCUGUGACGAAGCGUGAGUGACGGUAAUGGAUAAAGAAGCACCGGCUAACUACGUG
rnacentral:rRNA from 1 species